rnacentral:rRNA from 1 species
CUUAUUCUUACAGUACCGUCAGUUACCCACACGUGGGUAAGUUUCUUCCUGUACAAAAGCAGUUUACAACCCAUAGGGCAGUCUUCCUGCACGCGGCAUGGCUGGGUCAGAGUUGCCUCCAUUGCCCAAUAUU